rnacentral:lncRNA from 1 species
AAAAUCCAACCAAAAAAUUUAAAAGUCAUAGGUACUUUUGCUAAAAACUGUUUUUCUUUAGUAUAAAAUCAAAACCACCUUUUCCUCUAUUUUCAAAUACUUUUAGGAUAAAAAAUUACUAACCAGAUAGGUUAGGAGGGUACCCGUUCAUUCUGCUCCCCCGUUCUAUUUUCUCCGACAGGCGCAGUCCGGUCCCCCUCCGCUAGCCCCGUCGCAAAGCAUCCGCGCUCAUCUCCGUCGGGGGUAGCAGCAAAGACCAACGGAGUGAAGCAUCAACUCGGAGUGGAGAAUGCAGCCCGGGCCGGCGUACGGUGGCGGCGCCGGCGGAAGAUAGGGACGGGAUGAGCGAGAUAACUCGAUUCAGGCAGGGUGGACUCUGUCCGAGGGCGGAGGAGUUCAAUCCGAUGACGUGAGAGGAGCUCGAUUUGCUGAUCUCCCCGGCAAGGUUCGAUUUGAUGGCUCGCCGUUGCCGGCGUAAUCACCUCCAGGUACUCGUCCAUACUCUGUAAACUGCAAUCAUCUCUUGGUUUGCCCAAGCUGUCGAUUCCAAUCUGAAGAGCAAUUCUUGUGUAAUAAUCUACACAACCGUUAAUUCCUUUUCAUCCCAUCUAAUUUCGGUAAAAUGGGAUUCGCUAGUUGCAAAGAAAUCUAACUGCAGUUGAGAUGUCAGAAAUUUUGCUGGUGACUGGUUGAUUUUUCUCCAAAGGGGCAUCUGUUGCCAUUUCCAUUACAAUUUGCAAGCUGUCACAAACUUCUGAUAAACUCUAUCUGCGGGUGCCAGGAUACAUGGGAAUUUUGGAGGCAAUAACAUAAAAAUCUAAAAAUCCCUCUACUAUUUUCUCGAAAAAAUGCCUAUGUACUAUCGGAGCAGAGGUACUUGUUUUGCUGUCAGAUACAAAUGGCUGCUUCACUUCAGUUAAUCUUACUUGUCAAGUAUUUAUGUUCAAAGAUCCAUAUUUUCAUGCUAGAACAGAUACAAGGAAAAGGCUAUGGAAAAGACCCUUGUUGUUAAUAUAAUUCUAUGUAGCUCUCACUUUGAUGGUUAGUGCGAGAGGAGCACGGUAAUGUUAAGGGAUGGUAUUG